rnacentral:rRNA from 1 species
GAUGAACGCUAGCGGCAGGCCUAAUACAUGCAAGUCGAACGAGAUUAAGAGGCUUGCUUCUUAUGAAAGUGGCGCACGGGUGCGUAACGCGUAUGCAACCUACCUUAAUCAGGGGGAUAGCCCGAAGAAAUUCGGAUUAAGACCGCAUAAAAACACAGGAUAGCAUUAUCCAAUGUUCAAAUAUUUAUAGGAUUAAGAUGGGCAUGCGUGUCAUUAGCUAGUUGGCGGGGUAACGGCCCACCAAGGCGACGAUGACUAGGGGAUCUGAGAGGAUGACCCCCCACACUGGUACUGAGACACGGACCAGACUCCUACGGGAGGCAGCAGUAAGGAAUAUUGGUCAAUGGAGGGAACUCUGAACCAGCCAUGCCGCGUGCAGGAAGACAGCCCUCUGGGUCGUAAACUGCUUUUAUUCGGGAAUAAACCUUUCUACGUGUAGGAAGCUGAAUGUACCGAAGGAAUAAGGAUCGGCUCACUCCGUG